GACGAACGCUGGCGGCGUGCUUAACACAUGCAAGUCGAACGGAAAGGCCCUGCUUUUGUGGGGUGCUCGAGUGGCGAACGGGUGAGUAACACGUGAGUAACCUGCCCUUGACUUUGGGAUAACUUCAGGAAACUGGGGCUAAUACCGGAUAGGAGCUCCUGCUGCAUGGUGGGGGUUGGAAAGUUUCGGCGGUUGGGGAUGGACUCGCGGCUUAUGAGCUUGUUGGUGGGGUAGUGGCUUACCAAGGCUUUGACGGGUAGCCGGCCUGAGAGGGUGACCGGCGACAAUGGGACUGAGAGACGGCCCAGACUCCUACGGGAGGCAGCAGUGGGGAAUAUUGCACAAUGGGGGGAAGCCUGAUGCAGCAACGCCGCGGGCGGGAUGACGGCCUUCGGGGGGUAAACCGGUUGAGCCUGUGACGAAGCGUGAGUGACGGUAAUUGGUAAAGAAGCACCGGCUAACUACGUG
rnacentral:rRNA from 1 species